CCUACGGGCGGCACCAGUAGGGAAUCUUCGGCAAUGGACGAAAGUCUGACCGAGCAACGCCGCGUGAGUGAAGAAGGUUUUCGGAUCGUAAAACUCUGUUACUAGAGAAGAACAAGUAGGAGAGUAACUGCUCUUACCUUGACGGUAUCUAACCAGAAAGCCACGGCUAACCACGUGCCAGCAGCCGCGGUAAUACGUAGGUGGCAAGCGUUGUCCGGAUUUAUUGGGCGUAAAGCGAGCGCAGGCGGUCUUUUAAGUCUGAUGUGAAAGCCCUCGGCUCAACCGAGGAAGGUCAUUGGAAACUGGAGGACUUGAGUGCAGAAGAGGAGAGUGGAAUUUCAUGUGUAGCGGUGAAAUGCGUAGAUAUAUGGAGGAACACCAGUGGCGAAGGCGACUCUCUGGUCUGUAACUGACGCUGAGGCUCGAAAGCGUGGGGAGCAAACAGGAUUAGAUACCCCUGUAGUC
rnacentral:rRNA from 1 species